rnacentral:lncRNA from 1 species
AUAUAAACGAUGAGGUUUUUGGGGUGAUAGUGGGGUUCGAGGGAUCCGGAGCCCAUGCCCAGAAACAAUUCUUGAAAACAUCUUUGGUGCAAAAAGGUGAUUUCACGAAAGCACAAGGACAGGACCCGUGGGCAGGACGAGUUGCCCCUUGUGUUUGCGUUUUAAAUUUUAAUACAGUUUCCAGUGAAUUUUGGUGUAGGUUGUAAAGUUUGUGUGUACAUUUCAUUGCAUAUGGUUUCCAAUGAAUUGUUCCGCAAGUAUUUUUGGCGGAGUUGGGGGGAUAGUGGGCUCCACUUCAGUUUCGAUUUCCAAAAUGUCAUGGAUUCAGCGGGCGGCCAGGAGGGGGCGCUGCCUCCACGGACCUGUGAGCUCAGGGUGUCCCGCACUACACCUCCACCGCCUGCAGGGGGCGCCCGAGCCCCGCUGCCUGACGCCGGCGCGCGCACGCGCAUUCAGCGCUACUCCUGCUUGACGGGAGCUCCGCUUCCCCAGGACCCGCUGUGGGGGAUUCAGGAGGACGUGGAGCCGCGUCCACAGGGACAAGAACCCGGUCUCCUCAGGACCCGCUGUGGAGGAUUCGGGAGGAGGUGGAGCCGCGUCCGCAGGUGCAAGAACCCGGUCUCCUCAGGGCCCACCGCGGGAGGGAGGAGCAGAUUCAGGCUUGUUUCCGGGAAGAAACCCUGACAGAAAUUCAGAAGAACGGGAGCUGCAUUCAGUUAGGACGUGAAUACAUGAAAUGCUCAUCUCAGGACCUUCUAGAAGAAUGAGCUGGGACCCACUUUCCGAGUCCUGCCGGAACCAGAGACCGAGGUAAGGGCAUAAACUGUCCCCCACAUCAUACAUGCUUUUUUAAACAAUUUCAUGGUUAUUUUUCCAACCUAGUGAAGUGAUUGAAAACUACAGAAAACCUGGUAGGUAAGUCUCAUUAACCUUAUGUUAUCUUUUACUGUAAAUUCCAGUGAGUAAAAACACAGUGUAAUAUCAGUUUCAGGUGUACAAUAUAGAGCAACCCUUCCACACGUCACCCGGUGCUCAUCCCAGGUGCUUUCUUAAUCCCCAGCAGCUGUUUCACCCAUUCCCCAUCUCGCUGUGGAAGCCCUCAGUUUGUUUCCAAGUUAAGAGCCUGUUUGUCACUGUCUCCCCCCACCCCCCACCUUGUUUUGUUUCAUUUCCAUGUGUUAGUGAAAUCAUCUGGUAUUUGUCUUUCUGUGACAGUCUUAUUUCACCCAGUAUAACGUUCUCUCGCUCCAUCCACCUCGUGGCCAAUGACAAGAUUUCAUGUUUUUAUGGCUAAAUAAUAUUACAUUCCAUACACUACAUCUCAGUUUAUUCAUCAGUUGAUGGAUGCUCGGGCAGUUUCCGUAAUUUGGCUGUUGUAGAAAAUGCUGGUGUAAACAUCAGGGUGCAUGUAUCCCUUUGAAGAAUUAUUUUUGUAUUCUUUGUGGAAAUACUUCGUAGUGUUGUUGUUGUUGUUGUUGUUGUUGUUGUUGUUGUUGUUGUUGUUGUUGUUGUUGUUGUUGUUGUUGUUGUUGUUGUUGUUGUUGUUGUUGUUGUUGUUGUUGUUGUUGUUGUUGUUGUU